rnacentral:lncRNA from 1 species
UUGCUAAUGUGCUAGUUCGUGAGCCAUCAUAACUCUUCCUUUCUUUGUCUCACCUUCAAAUUCAUCUUUUUUUUCUUUCUUCUUUCUUUCUGACAGAAAGAGUACCAGAACAUUGUAAGAAACCUGCGCUGAAGUCUUGUUGUAUUAUCUCUCCAUACUGCUGUGAUUGAGAUGGGUUUUUUGAUGAGGAGGUAGCUCCAGGGAUUCGUUGAAGAUGUCUUCUACUUUCCACAGCUGGGCACUGGGAAGGAGCCAGCUGUGUGGCUAACCAGUUCUCCACGGAGUGACAGAACCCAACCACAGCUUGGGCACUUCAGGUGGAGAUGCCCACUGCUUCCCUGAAAGGAGCAUCAGAUGGAGAAGUAAAGAAAGGACUCCUCACAGCUGCUGGGCACUAUCAGCACUAACCAGCAGGAUGAUCUGGGUUUCUGCUGCCCUCUGCCAGACAGCAGCGUUUUGAUCGCAAGUCUGUGCCCUGUGGUUAUGGCAGGACUUCAAAUAACUACUUGGUGUUUGAAAUUCAGGCACAGCCCACUUAUUUGGAUAUUUCAAGCUGCAAGUUUCAGCUGAACCCCUAAGCAGCAAUUGGGUUUAAACAAUGAGGAGAGCUUUCCCCAGAGUCUUCAUGAUGCAAUUAAAUUACAAGGAGGCAAUCUGGUAUAGAGUCACCCAAGAAUCAUCUAUGUCAACCAUGAAGUCCAGUGGUUCUGGGUUGAUCACAGAUGGGAUCCAAUCACAC